AUUUAUAUAGUUUAUCUAUAAAUAAAACCCCUUAUUUUCAAUAAGGAAAAAAGAGCAUAUCUUUAUAAAUA
rnacentral:tRNA from 1 species